rnacentral:rRNA from 1 species
AAUAUUGCACAAUGGGCGAAAGCCUGAUGCAGCAACGCCGCGUGAGCGACGAAGGCCUUCGGGUCGUAAAGCUCUGUCCUAAGGGAAGAAUAAAUGACGGUACCUUGGGAGGAAGCCCCGGCUAACUACGUGCCAGCAGCCGCGGUAAUACGUAGGGGGCAAGCGUUAUCCGGAAUCACUGGGCGUAAAGGGUGCGUAGGCGGUCGACAAAGUCUGGGGUGAAAGGCUACGGCUCAACCGUAGUAAGCCUUUGAAACUGUAGGGCUUGAGUGCAGGAGAGGAGAGUGGAAUUCCUAGUGUAGCGGUGAAAUGCGUAGAUAUUAGGAGGAACACCAGUGGCGAAGGCGACUCUCUGGACUGCAACUGACGCUGAGGCACGAAAGCGUGGGGAGCGAACAGG